rnacentral:tRNA from 1 species
GGGGAUGUAGCUCAGUGGUAAAGUGUUUGCUUAGCAUGCACAAGGCCCUGGGUUUGAUCCCCAGCAUCACAA